rnacentral:rRNA from 1 species
AGGAGAAUCAUUCGCAAUGGGCGAAAGCCUGACGGUGCGACGCCGCGUGAGGGAUGAAGGCCUUCGGGUUGUAAACCUCUGUCAGGAGUAGGGAACGCCGAGGAUAACAACAUUAUCUUCGGGUGACUAAGGCUCCAAAGGAAGCGCCGGCUAACUACGUGCCAGCAGCCGCGGUAAUACGUAGGGCGCAAGCGUUACUCGGAAUCACUGGGCAUAAAGGGCGUGUAGGCGGACGCGUAAGUCCGGUGUGAAAUCCCUCGGCUCAACCGAGGAUGGCCAUUGGAUACUGCGUGUCUAGAGUGUGGGAGGGGAGAGUGGAACUCUUGGUGGAGCGGUGAAAUGCGUAGAUAUCAAGAGGAACGCCGGUGGCGAAAGCGGCUCUCUGGCCCAUUACUGACGCUGAGGCGCGAAAGCUAGGGGAGCAAACG